rnacentral:rRNA from 1 species
AGAUUGAACGCUGGCGGCAGGCCUAACACAUGCAAGUCGAGCGGUAGAGAGGUGCCUGCACCUCUUGAGAGCGGCGGACGGGUGAGUAAUGCCUAGGAAUCUGCCUAGUGGUGGGGGAUAACGUUCGGAAACGGACGCUAAUACCGCAUACGUCCUACGGGAGAAAGCGGGGGACCUUCGGGCCUCGCGCCAUUAGAUGAGCCUAGGUCGGAUUAGCUAGUUGGUGAGGUAAUGGCUCACCAAGGCGACGAUCCGUAACUGGUCUGAGAGGAUGAUCAGUCACACUGGAACUGAGACACGGUCCAGACUCCUACGGGAGCAGCAGUGGGGAAUAUUAGGACAA